GGAGAUAUAGCUCAGUGGCAGAGCCUCUGGCUCACAUGCAGAAGGCCCUGGGUUCAUUUCCUGGCAUCUCCU